rnacentral:rRNA from 1 species
GGUUAAGCGACUAAGCGUACACGGUGGAUGCCCUGGCAGUCAGAGGCGAUGAAGGACGUGCUAAUCUGCGAAAAGCGCCGGCGAGGUGAUAUGAACCUUUGACCCGGCGAUGUCCGAAUGGGGAAACCCAGUGCAAUCCGUUGCACUAUCGUUAACUGAAUACAUAGGUUAACGAGGCGAACCGGGGGAACUGAAACAUCUAAGUACCCCGAGGAAAAGAAAUCAACCGAGAUUCCCCCAGUAGCGGCGAGCGAACGGGGAGCAGCCCGGAGUCUGAAUCAGCUUGUGUGUUAGUGGAACGGUCUGGAAAGUCCGACGGUACAGGGUGAUAGUCCCGUACACGAAAGCACACUUGCUGUGAACUCGAAGAGUAGGGCGGGACACGUGGUAUCCUGUCUGAAUAUGGGGGGACCAUCCUCCAAGGCUAAAUACUCCUGACUGACCGAUAGUGAACCAGUACCGUGAGGGAAAGGCGAAAAGAACCCCGGCGAGGGGAGUGAAAAAGAACCUGAAACCGUGUACGUACAAGCAGUGGGAGCCUCUUUAUGGGGUGACUGCGUACCUUUUGUAUAAUGGGUCAGCGACUUAUAUUCUGUAGCAAGGUUAACCGUAUAGGGGAGCCGAAGGG